AACCAAUGAGACGGCUCGUCCCAGCUAGUUCCGUCCUACCGCCCCAAGCAACGAUUGGUUAACAAGGCCUCGUUUCCAGAAAUGGGAACUAUUUCCGGACAGUGUUUAUAGCGAAGAGAUUGCUGGGCCGACUAAUUGACAGAAGGCGGAGGCGGCCUGCGGGUUGGUGCAACCACACAUGCGCGCAGGGCUUCUGGCAGCUUUACGGGUUGCGUUCUUCUUGAGGUUACGGGAAGGAAGGGCGAGUGUGCGCACGCGCGGGCACUCCCCAGCCUCGUACCUGGUUACCUAGGAGACGGCGAGGCGCUCACCCUCCUGGUUUGGGUCGUGCUUCUUUGCUCCAGGCCUUGGCUCAGGCGGCAGGUGGGGGAGAGUAAACGUGUUGACCCAAAGUUGCAACUCCCAAGAAGAAACCUCACGUCGGGUUGCAGGAAAGCAACAAACCUCUACAGGCUGGAGAGGAGAAUGUGUGGGACAAGCAGGGCCUCAUGAUUUCAGCUACUUGCUUGGGCCUUCCCAAGCCCCACUGUGUGGGUUGAGGGAGUCCUUUCCCGGUGACCUCCAAAACAAAGCGUUCGUGUUCUCCAACUCCGCCUCUUUCCUAACUGCUGGCUUUGUUGAACCAAGAUGACCCACAGUAUGGAGCUGCUGAAAGGACGAGGGGCAACAUGAACAACAAAAUAAGACCACUGGGAGUUCCUGCUGUGGCGCAAUGGCAUUGGCGUCAUCUCUGCAGCGCCAGGAUGCAGCAGCCUGACCUCGUCCACUAGGAGAAAAACAGGAAGCUGAGUUCUGCCAGGAAUGGGAACACACCCUUCCUCAGCCCUGGGCUGGAGGACGCUACGGUGGUGGGGGGCCCUGGGGACAGGACAUGGGACAGUGUGUGGGGUAGGGGCUCUGCUGGCCAAGCCAGGGUGGCCUGGGCCCCGCCACCUCGCUGAGUGUUUUGGCACAAUGACUGGGCUUGCUCUGACUGGCCUUGCUGCGCGGUCCCAGGGACCAGGAGAGUCCGGAGGAGGGUGUCCUGGUCUCUCCUGUGUGAGGACAGAAUUAUGGGCACUGGGGCCAUGUAUGAUUUUGGCCUUCGUAGGCCCUUCCUCCAUAAAAAAUACGAAAAACUAUCAUACAGCUGUGUUGGUAGAAAGAUGAAUAAAAUCCAAGCUGGAUGCAUGAUCACAUA